rnacentral:rRNA from 1 species
UAAUACGUAGGGAGCAAGCGUUGUUCGGAUUUACUGGGCGUAAAGGGCGCGUAGGCGGCGUGUUAAGUCAGCUGUGAAAUCUCUGAGCUCAACUCAGAACGGCCAGCUGAUACUGAUGUGCUAGAGUGCAGAAGGGGCAACCGGAAUUCUUGGUGUAGCGGUGAAAUGCGUAGAUAUCAAGAGGAACACCUGAGGCGAAGGCGGGUUGCUGGGCUGACACUGACGCUGAGGCGCGAAAGCCAGGGGAGCAAACGGG